ACAAACUGUGGACCAAUAUUUUUUGAAGUGUCCUUUGUGAUAAACAAUUUAAAAAUUGAAUAAGGCCACCCAAUACAAUAUUAUAAAUGAAUUGAUUAGUAUACUACAAUCCAGAUGAUAAUUUAAAAAUUCAGAUAGCUCAAUUUUUUAGGAACAGAAAGUAGAAUGGUGGUUACCAGGGGCUAAGGGAAAAUGGGGAGUUGGCGUUGAGUGGGUAUAGAGUUUCAGUGUUGCAGGAUGAAGAAGUUCUGGAGAUUCAUUGCACAACAUGAAUAUACUUAAAACUACUGAACUCUACAGUUAAAAAUGGUUCCAAUGGUAAAAAAAAUUUUUUUUUAAAAAGAAAACCAGACAUCUGACGUCAAGCUGAUAUAAGGAAUUUAUUGUGUAAAAAAGAAACAUCUAGAGAAUGCCACAGACAGGCCUAGUAUGGCUACAGUACCGUAUAUAAAAGACAAUUGCUCACAAUGAUAGCACUGAAGCACUGAGAGAUAUCAAAGUACUUUCUGAAUCGAAUCAAAUGAUACUUAGUGUAGUUUUAAUAUCCUCAUAUAUAAAACUACUCACUGUACUCAUCUGGUAUAUACCCGCACGAACAUUUUGAAAUUCCAAUUUCUUGGUCAAGUGAUAUAUUGCUUGAAUUCAUUAAAUAUAUUUAGAUUUCUGUAUUAUACAAAGUUAAAUGUACAACUAAAUUAGUAUAUGAAAA
rnacentral:lncRNA from 10 species